UACAUGGGGUGCAAACGUUGCUCGGAAUUAUUGGGCGUAAAGCGCACGUAGGCGGUUCGUUAAGUCGGAUGUGAAAGCCCUCGGCUCAACUGAGGAAGUGCACCCGAAACUGGCGAGCUUGAGUACGAAAGAGGAUCGCGGAAUUCCCGGUGUAGAGGUGAAAUGCGCAGAUAUCAGGAGGAACACCAAUGGCGAAGGCAGCACUCUGGGACGUGACUGACGCUGAGACGCGAAAGCGUGGGGAGCAAACAGG
rnacentral:rRNA from 1 species